rnacentral:lncRNA from 1 species
GGCACCUCACCUGGUGGGAAAAGUUCCUGGGAGCAAAUGCAUGCACAAAGAACAAAGGCAAAUACUCACAUCCCUUGCAACUUUGCUGCCCAGCACACUCCUUCUCCGUGCUGGCUAUCAUUGUGCCCAAAAGGACACUGGUGAUACCAGAACCAUCUACAAUGAAUGUGAGACUCAAGCUGCCUAUAACCAGCCAUGGGUUCAGAACGAAUGGCAAUUAUCCAACUUGGUUCAGAAGCAAGGCAGGCAGGGAAGGAGGUAA